AGCACACUCACAUACUCACACACAUACACUCACACAACACUCUCACACACACACACACUCUCUCUCACACACUCACACCCUCACGCACACUCUCACACACAUACCUGGCCUCUUGUGUGUAUUUACACUGUAAUUUUGCACCCCCCAAAUCCCCCCUGACGUCAGAGGCGCCAUGAAUCACAAUGACAGCUCUCCUGGUAUCCAAGAGACCUGUGCAGGCUGCUAAGUCACCGUCCCCCACUGUGAGAACUGUCACUAGAUUGGAGUCUUCCGCUGAAGGAACAAAAUUCCAUCCCCAAGGACCCACAUUGUGUCGCAGCUAAUGACCCAGUUAACCUCGGGCUAAUUUCCUGCCUCUCUGCGCCCUGGGAACGCUGGUGUUUACUCCGCUUGGGACAAAUCUUUAUGAAUGUGCGGAGCCUGGCCGCUCUGGGCCAGUGUUUUCUUGGAAAUUGGCUGAGGGCCAGGGCCCUGCUGAAGUCCUGAAGUCGCAGAGUGUGAAUGGCCUCCCUCCAGCCCUCCUCUGCCUGAUUUGCAUGACUGAGCUUUCUGCUCUUCCCUCUAAGGUGCUUGUUUGUUGGUUAUUGAUCUGUCUCCUAUGGAGAGACAAAUUAUCAGCCCACCAGGCAGUGGCCUCAAUUUGGCAGAAGCCCCAGCUGUGUCUGCAGCAAACCAGAGUCAGAGGGUCACACUCAUCCGCAGGAAAAUUCCAGAACUCUGAUGGCCCAAGGAUGUGAGGAUCCAAGCUGCUCUGGCCCCAGCAGCGUUCUCAAGAGGAAUCUUGGCGAGGAGAACUGGAGGGGUGAGCAGGGAGGAGAGGAUCCUCCUACAUAAAAAUCUGGCUCAAUUUAACAAGAGGCUCAAAAGCCUCUUUAAAUGAGCCUGCUGGUUCCCUGGGGAAAGGGGUGCUGCUCUCAGCCAGGCACCGGGCUGCUGCAGGCCCGUGAUCCCAGGGAGGCGGAGGCAGGAGGAGUUCGAGGCCAGCCUCGGGAAUUUGGUGAGACCCUCGGCAACUUAGUGAGACCCUUUCUCAAAAAUAAAAUUAAAUUAAAAUUGAAAAGGGCUGGGGAUGUUGCUCAAUGGUGAAGUGCCCCUGGGUUCAAUCCCCAGUGUGUGUGUGUGUGUGUGUGUGUGUGUGUGUGUAUAAAAGUGGCUCUCAGCUCUUAUGAGACCCCAUAGCAUCUUUUUUUAAAGCAAAUACUGUAUCAUUUCCACUUUAGUUUAAAUUUUGAGUUGAAGUUAAUUCUUGGGUAACAGCCUACCUACCCAUCUUUUUAGAAAUUCAGUGCAGGGCCCUAAUUAUAAUAUAAAGGCAAAUGUAAGAAAAGUAGUUUGCAAUUAGGUCACACCUGUCCCGACAUUCAGCCGCUGGGGCGUUGGAAUGACGGGUGACAUGGCCGGUGACAAGCACGUGGAGGAGGCCCCUCAGACCCAGGGGGAGGUGCCUGGUGAUGUCACCCUGGCAAUGUUUUGCACAAAGCUGGUACAGCUGCCCUGAGUUCACACCAGAGGUGCCAUCCCAGGAACCAAGGGGACAGCAGGACAGUGCCCAAAGCACCGUUUCCAGGUAAAGCGGGUUUUUCUUUGGGGUUUGAUGGCUGUGGGGCAGAAGACUCGGGUCGGAAGGCGGAGAAGGAAAGGAAGGGACUGUAGCUGGGGAUGUGAAGCACCCACCCCAUACCUGGGUCCCACCCGCUUGGUGCUCUGGGCCUGUCACUCCCAAAGCUCUGAGAAAUCUCCCCGUCUCAGCUCACUGUGAAGUUGCUCUGAAAAUCGCCUCCUGCUGGCGGGAUCACCUGUGCCCUGGGCCUCACAAUGCCGCUGAGAUCAGGCAGAGCACAGCAGGUGUAGUUCAGAAACCCGCGGCCACCUGCGGAGGAGACGGGGUCCACAGGCAGAUCCCCAGGGCCAUGGACACCUCAGGAUCCAGGAUCAAAGAACAGAGCUCACCAGACGGACGUCACCCCACGUGCUUUCCCUGUGUCCACCUGAAAUGGCUGGAGGCAGGGUCCUCCCUCUGAAAUAAGAGCAAAGUCCCCCCUGGUGGGGGAAGGGAGCCCAAGGGCUGUGACCCCCCCACACACCCCACCAAGGAGCAGCAGAGAAACAGAUGGAAACAAGAACUCCCGCUCCCACUCUGGUGUGACAUAACCAGGCGGUCCAGACAGGAUGGGGACGAUGGGAAGGGCUUGGCAUCCACAGCGCCCUGCAUAGGGACAGGGACGGUAAGGUCCAUGGGAAGCUCCCCUGGAAGAUCCAUCCCACAGACCAACUAUGGGGCCCACCAGGACAAAGGCAGAAGGCUGGCCACGCCUUGGGAUCCUCAGUCCCUGUUAGUCCAACCCCCAGCCCACGCAGGCCACGUGUUUAGUGAGCACCUGCUACGUGAGGGGUGUGGGAACUAAGUGCCAUGGACCCUACAGCCUGGAGCAGUGACAGGUAUCAGGAGGUGCGCUGUCACACCUGUGGCCGGAUCUGGGUGGCGUGGUUCUCAUUCCUCGCAUAUCUUCCAAGGAACGCUGCUCUGCAGGAGAGACUGUGCGACCCUGUGCUCAAUUCCUUUGGAAUUCUGACACCUAUUAACCCUGCUUAUACGGUUGCCCCAGGUGACCGAGACACCUCAGAGACCAGGCCAGUGCUGGGGGUCACUGAUGGCCCAGCCUGUGUCCCCCCAGUCCUCCCCAAGACCCCCAGUCCUGUGCUUGCUUGUGCAGAGCCUCGGGUUCUGUCUCAGCACCACAAACAACAACGAAGACAACAGUAAUAAUCACCACUGCCCCGGGGGCCUCCCAAGAUGAGAAACCAACAAGGUGGCUUGAAACAGACCAAAGCGCUCUCUGGCUCUGGGCAACUGGUUACUCAAAAGGACCUCUUUUUCCUAGGACAUUCUGUUUUUAAAUUAAUUAGCAGACUGAUUUUUUUGGAGCAAUUUUAGCUCCACAGAAAAAUGGAGCAGAAGGUCCAGGAUUCCCGAGCACCUGACCUGUCCUGCAGCAAGCGUGUCCUCCUGUGACCCUGCCGUCCCGAGGUUCUGCUAUCGACAGGCACUGGCCAAGAGUAUGAAAUGUGAUUUCCUUUUUUCUUUUUAAUCAGGCUUUACUUUUUAGAGCAGUCUCAGGUACAAAAUCUGUAGUGAAGGAGGCCAGCGUCCCAACCCCAAGCCCUGUCCUCCCCUGCCCCCUCUGUUCUUAGCAUCUGGCAGAGAGAGACGUUGGUUACAAAUGAUGAGUCAAUACGGGUCCAUUAUCAUCAACUCAGGGGUCACUCUGUGUUGGCUGUUCUGUGGGUUUUGAUAAAUGAAUCGUGACACUUUCCCUCCAUUGUGUAUCUUACAGAGUAUGCACUGCCCACUAGCCUCCAGCCCCAUCUCUGUCCCUCCUUCCCCAAGUCCCUGACAACCGCUGUUUUUUUAAGUUUCUAUAGUUUCCACCUUUAUGAAUCAGCGCACCUGACCCAAGUCAGUGACGGACCCUGAGGAGGAACCGGGAUGGGAUGGAGACCAGGAGGACGUCAAUCCCAGAGCCAGGCCCACGGAGAACCUCGGGAAGAGUCCGAUGCUCCACAUUUCACCUAGAUUUCUGUGUCCACUCAUGGCUCCUGUGCAACCCACAUGGAUUUGUUUUGUUUGUUGUUUAUUUGUUUGUUUUUUGUACUGGGGAUUAAACUCAGGGACUCAACCCCUGAGCCACAUCCCCAGCCCUAGUUUGUAUUUU